GACGAACGCUGGCGGCGUGCUUAACACAUGCAAGUCGAACGAUGAAGAAAAGAAUUGAAGCUUCGGCAGAAAUUCAUUUCGGAUUAGUGGCAGACGGGUGGGUAACGCGUGAGCAACCUACCUCUUACAAAGGGAUAGCCUCGGGAAACCGGGAUUAAUACCAUAUAACAUUGCGACGAAGCAUUUCGAUGCAAUCAAAGCUACGGCGGUAAGAGAUGGGCUCGCGUCCCAUUAACCAGAUGGUGAGGUAACGGCUCACCAUAGUAACGAUGGGUAACCGGCCUGAGAGGGUGAACGGUCACACUGGAACUGAGACACGGUCCAGACUCCUACGGGAGGCAGCAGUGGGGAAUAUUGCACAAUGGAGGGAGCUCUGAUGCAGCGACGCCGCGUGAGUGAUGAAGGAAUUCGUUUCGUAAAACUCUGUUCUAUGGGAAGAAAAGGACUGUACCAUAGGAGAAAGCUCCGGCUAAAUACGUG
rnacentral:rRNA from 1 species